rnacentral:rRNA from 1 species
AGCGAACGCUGGCGGCAGGCCUAACACAUGCAAGUCGAACGAACCUUUCGGGGUUAGUGGCGGACGGGUGAGUAACACGUGGGAACGUGCCUUUAGGUUCGGAAUAACUCAGGGAAACGUGUGCUAAUACCGAAUGUGCCCUUCGGGGGAAAGAUUUAUCGCCUUUAGAGCGGCCCGCGUCUGAUUAGCUAGUUGGUUGAGGUAAUGGCUCACCAAGGCGACGAUCAGUAGCUGGUCUGGGAGGAUGAUCAGCCACAUUGGGACUGAGACACGGCCCAAACUCCUACGGGAGGCAGCAGUGGGGAAUCUUGCGCCAUGGGCGAAAGCCUGACGCAGCCAUGCCGCGUGAAUGAUGAAGGUCUUAGGAUUGUAAAAUUCUUUCACCGGGGACGAUAAUGACGGUACCCGGAGAAGAAGCCCCGGCUAACUUCGUG